rnacentral:rRNA from 1 species
AUUGAACGCUGGCGGCAGGCCUAACACAUGCAAGUCGAACGGUAACAGGAAGCAGCUUGCUGCUUCGCUGACGAGUGGCGGACGGGUGAGUAAUGUCUGGGAAACUGCCUGAUGGAGGGGGAUAACUACUGGAAACGGUAGCUAAUACCGCAUAACGUCGCAAGACCAAAGAGGGGGACCUUAGGGCCUCUUGCCAUCGGCUGUGCCCAGAUGGGAUUAGCUAGUAGGUGGGGUAACGGCUCACCUAGGCGACGAUCCCUAGCUGGUCUGAGAGGAUGACCGGCCACACUGGAACUGGGACACGGUCCAAACUCCUACGGGAGGCAGCAGUGGGGAAUAUUGCACAAUGGGCGCAAGCCUGAUGCAGCCAUGCCGGGUGUAUGAAGAAGGCCUUCGGGUUGUAAAGUACUUUCAGCGGGGAGGAAGGGAGUAAAGUUAAUACCUUUGCUCAUUGACGUUACCCGCAGAAGAAGCACCGGCUAACUCCGU